UGAAAAAGAUGUAGGAUUCAGGGUCGUAGACCUCAAGGUCUGUUUCUACACGGUAGGUCUCUCCAGACACAGAUCCAUCCCAGUAUGCUGUGUACACACCUUUCGAGUUACUUAGCUCUUUACAAAUUUUGUUUCUGGAAUGAUCCCAGUCUCUGGCAAAAAAAAAAAAAGUGUGUGGCGUAGUUCCACUUCUCUUGUGUAAAGAGAUACUGCUUCUUGGUCAAACAAGUAUCCCGUCAAACAGGUCAAACAAGUAUCCCGAUACCCUGAAGUGUUCCACAUCACAGAAUGUUAAUUCUGCGUAUCUGUGACUGUGCCCUUACAGUCACACUUGUUUUACUGCCCUGUUCCAGAUAAGGCUGUUUACACUCAGGAGUGGACGUGUCAUUUGGAACUCAUGUUCGAGGAGAAGCAGUAGAACAGGCAGACAGCGGCGUUUCAUCUAGCUCUUGAAGGUUUUGACAUCCUAACUUAAGAUUGCUCAGACCUGCGACUGCACUGAUGUGCAUGGAUCUAAAGGCAUCAUCAAGUUUGCAGACGAUACUACGGUGAUUGGUCUCAUCAGCAACAACGACGAGACUGCCUAAAGGGA